rnacentral:rRNA from 1 species
GACGAACGCUGGCGGCGUGCUUAACACAUGCAAGUCGAACGGAAAGGCCCUGCUUUUGUGGGGUGCUCGAGUGGCGAACGGGUGAGUAACACGUGAGUAACCUGCCCUUGACUUUGGGAUAACUUCAGGAAACUGGGGCUAAUACCGGAUAGGAGCUCCUGCUGCAUGGUGGGGGUUGGAAAGUUUCGGCGGUUGGGGAUGGACUCGCGGCUUAUCAGCUUGUUGGUGGGGUAGUGGCUUACCAAGGCUUUGACGGGUAGCCGGCCUGAGAGGGUGACCGGCCACAUUGGGACUGAGAUACGGCCCAGACUCCUACGGGAGGCAGCAGUGGGGAAUAUUGCACAAUGGGCGGAAGCCUGAUGCAGCAACGCCGCGUGCGGGAUGACGGCCUUCGGGUUGUAAACCGCUUUCGCCUGUGACGAAGUGUGAGUGACGGUAAUGGGUAAAGAAGCACCGGCUAAAUACGUG